rnacentral:rRNA from 1 species
CUCCUUGACGUUAGCGGCGGACGGGUGAGUAACACGUGGGUAACCUACCUAUAAGACUGGGAUAACUUCGGGAAACCGGAGCUAAUACCGGAUAAUAUUUCGAACCGCAUGGUUCGAUAGUGAAAGGUGGUUUUGCUAUCACUUAUAGAUGGACCCGCGCCGUAUUAGCUAGUUGGUAAGGUAACGGCUUACCAAGGCGACGAUACGUAGCCGACCUGAGAGGGUGAUCGGCCACACUGGAACUGAGACACGGUCCAGACUCCUACGGGAGGCAGCAGCC